CAAGCAGGAAGUGGCUGUGGCAGAGUCCACAGCAGCUUCUGUAGCAAAGCUUUGGGAGAGAUUACUCUUCCCUGGAGUGUUACAGCUCGACAAGACAGGCACGCUCAGAUGAUCUUUGAUGG
ensembl:miRNA predicted gene, 27541